GAUGAAGAACGCAGCGAAAUGCGAUAAGUAAUGUGAAUUGCAGAAUUCAGUGAAUCAUCGAAUCUUUGAACGCACCUUGCACCCUUUGGCAUUCCGAAGGGUAUGCUCGUUUGAGUGUCAUUGUACUCUCAGUCUCCCGAUACUUUUGGAUCGGGAGUGGUGGACUUGGGUGCUGCUGCUUAACUGUGGCUCGCCUUAAAUGAAGUAGUGCAACUCUCGGUUGGACAUAGUACGGCGUGAUAAGUGUCUUCGCCGGCGCCUCAUUCGAGGGUGGCCGCUCGGGAGCUCUGUGCUUCAAACUCUCUUCGGACAACAACUGACAACUUGACCUCAAAUCGAGUAGGACUACCCGCUGAACUUAAGCAUAUCAAUAAGCGGAGGA
rnacentral:misc_RNA from 1 species